UACGAGGGGGGCAAGCGUUGUUCGGAUUUAUUGGGCGGAAAGGGUGCGUAGGCGGUUUGGCAAGUCUUGUGUGAAAUCUUCGGGCUCAACCCGAAGCCUGCAUAAGAAACUGCCGGGCUUGAGUAUGGGAGAGGUGAGUGGAAUUUCCGGUGGAGCGGUGAAAUGCGUAGAGAUCGGAAAGAACACCAACGGCGAAAGCACUCUGCUGGGCCGACACUGACACUGAGAGACGAAAGCUAGGGGAGCGAAUGGG
rnacentral:rRNA from 1 species